GGGUCGGGGCCCUAAUGCUGACUAAAGGAAAAGAGUUUAGUUUAGGGUUUAAAACCCUAACGCUGAUUGAAUGGAAAAGUUCAGUUUAGGGUUUAAAACCUAAUGCUGAUUAAAGGAAAAAGUUCAGUUUAGGGUUUAAAACCCUAAUGCUAAUUAAAGGAAAAAGUUCAGUUUAGGGUUUAAAACCCUAAUGCUGAUUAAAGGAAAAAGUUCAGUUUAGGGUUUAAAACCCUAAUGCUAACUGAAUGGAAAAAGUUUAGUUUAGGGUUUAAAACCCUAAUGCUGAUUAAAGGAAAAGUUCAGUUUAGGGUUUAAAACCCUAAUGUUGACUAAAGGAAAGGGUUCAUGUUAGGGUUUAAAACCCUAAUGCUGACUAAAGAAAAAAGUUC
rnacentral:lncRNA from 1 species